AAAGAGCUAAGACCGUUCGAAAGUUUUUGUAUCAAAAAAAUUUUUAAAACCUUCUUAGUUGUGAAAUUCUAAUCGCUUUUAUUAAUAUCUAGUAGCUUUAGAAAUAAAUUUAGUUUAAAGUAAUAAGGAUAUCUUUAUUUAUAAGCUAUUCUACUUUUACUUUUAGAUUUUAGGGGAUGAGCUCUAAAAUUUUUAUAUAAGAAAAACUCUAUUUGAUUUUUUAGUAGGCUUAGAAUUAGCCAUUGGAAAGUGUUAUAAAAUAUAAUAUUAAGUUUAUAAUUUUUUAUUCUUUUUAGUAUAUAAAGCUAAUCUUAAAAUAAAUUUUAGGAUGAAAAUAUGAUAAUAUUAGUAGAUAAAAAUAUUUGGAAUUUCAAAUGAAAUAUUCAAAAUAACAUUUAUUUAUUAUUGUAAUAAAAGAACUCGGCAAAUACAAUUUCCGAAUGUUUAACAAAAACAUUUCCUCUUAGUUAAAGAGGUAAGGCCUGCUCACUGAGUAAUUAAAGAGCCGCAGUAUCCUAACUGUGCUAAGGUAGCAUAAUCAUUAGCCUUUUAAUUGAAGGCUGGUAUGAAUGGCUAAACGAGAAAUUGACUUUUUUUAUUAUAAACAUCGAAUUUAAUUUUUUAGUGAAAAAGCUAAAAUUAUUUAGAAAGACGAGAAGACCCUAUAGAGUUUUAUAUAAAAGGUUAAUUUAUUUCAUUAGUUUUGGAAAAAUUCAUUAAUUCUAUAUAUUUUGUUGGGGCGACAUUAAGAUAAAAAAAACUCUUUAUUUUUUAAACUUUUAUAAAAGUUUAGCUUGAUCCUUUAAAAAAGAUCAUAAGAAAAAAUUACCUUAGGGAUAACAGCGUAAUCUUUUUUGAGAGUUCUAAUCGACAAAAAGGUUUGCGACCU
rnacentral:rRNA from 1 species